rnacentral:siRNA from 1 species
GGCUACAAGUCUACAACGAUUAAA